rnacentral:rRNA from 1 species
AUUGAACGCUGGCGGCAGGCCUAACACAUGCAAGUCGAGCGGAGCGGCGGACGGGUGAGUAAUGCCUAGGAAUCUGCCUGGUAGUGGGGGAUAACGUCCGGAAACGGGCGCUAAUACCGCAUACUAUCAGAUGAGCCUAGGUCGGAUUAGCUAGUUGGUGGGGGAAAGGCCUACCAAGGCGACGAUCCGGAACUGGUCUGAGAGGAUGAUCAGUCACACUGGAACUGAGACACGGGCCCGACUCCUACGGGAGGCAGAAGUGGGGAAUAUUGGUAAAUGGGGGAGUGCCUGACGAAGCAACGCCGCGUGAGUGAUGACGGCCUUCGGGUUGUAAAGGUGGUUAAUCUGGACGACGGUACUGGAAUAGAAAGCCACGGCUAACUACGUGCCAGCAGCCGCGGUAAUUC